rnacentral:lncRNA from 1 species
UUGCAACAAGGACCCAGCACGGAUACAAAGCAGAGACAGGCUCUCACCACAGCGGGGGAGAGGACGCUCUCACAGGUCCAGAACCUCUCAGCAGAUACAAUCACCGAUGCUGCUCAUUGCAAUGUAUGGAGUGAAAGAGGCUGCCAUCGGUAUCCAGAAGAAGGUGUUACUUCGGUACCCAUACUCAUAAUCCAUAUGCUCCUGAAAUCAUGUGGAACAUGGUGAGCUGAUGGCGAUUGGGCAUCUGUUUCAUCUGUACUUUCUUAACCAACAAUCCAGUCUAACAUCAUAGGUAUGACAAGGUUACUUUAUCUAGAGCCUAGGCAUUUCAUUAUAAUUUCUAUUAGUAUAGAAAUAAGAAUUGCUGUUAACAUUAUAAUCCUUGAAGCUAUUAAUAGUCUAUCUAUCUUUUUAAAUUUGAAACAUUUUUUUCCAGAGCCCAGCACAGCACAGAUUUACAAAAUUAUACACAAAGACCUCAGAGGGGGAAUCUCUCAACAAGAACAACAUUUAGCAGCUGCAUUUCAGCCCUAUGUUCACCUGUCUUAUUGAUGACCAGUAAAUGGGUCAGAGGAUCCUGUGGUUGUUGUCCUGGUGAGAGGAAGUAUGUAUUUGGAGACAGUUCCCAUGGGUAACUUUUCUGAUAUGACUCGUAGAAUAGAUGUUCCAAAAGUUGAGGGAUAAAGCUAAUACCAAAAAGCAAUAAUCUAUCAACAGGCUUUUUCUUUCUUUCUUUAACUUUAGGAAGCGAACUUUUGCUAUUGCACAGACCUGCUGCCUCCAGAGCGCCAUGCCACUGAUUGUUUUCCUUGUUUCAUGGAAGGAAGACAAAACUUGUUCCAGCUCAACAAGGCUUCCUAUAUCUUUUGCCCCAUCAGUUUGUAAUUGUCCCCAAAUUCCAAUAUCUAAAACAUAAGAUCAAUAUUUUAUAAAGUGCCAUUUUAGUUAUGCAUUAUUUAGCUUUUCCUAUGAUACAUUUUCCUACAAAGGUGUCAAAGUUACCCUCUUGG